rnacentral:rRNA from 1 species
ACGUGUAGCGGUGAAAUGCGUAGAGAUGUGGAGGAAUACCGGUGGCGAAGGCGGCCUUCUGGACAGAUACUGACGCUGAGAUGCGAAAGCGUGGGGAGCAAACAGGAUUAGAUACCCUGGUAGUCCACGCUGUAAACGAUGUCGAUUUGGAGUUUGUUGCCUAGAGUGAUGGGCUCCGAAGCUAACGCGAUAAAUCGACCGCCUGGGGAGUACGGCCGCAAGGUUAAAACUCAAAUGAAUUGACGGGGGCCCGCACAAGCGGUGGAGCAUGUGGUUUAAUUCGAUGCAACGCGAAGAACCUUACCUGGUCUUGACAUCCAUAGAAUCUUGCAGAGAUGCGAGAGUGCCUUCGGGAGCUAUGAGACAGGUGCUGCAUGGCUGUCGUCAGCUCGUGUUGUGAAAUGUUGGGUUAAGUCCCGCAACGAGCGCAACCCUUAUCCUUUGUUGCCAUCGAUUCGGUCGGGAACUCAAAGGAGACUGCCGUUGAUAAAGCGGAGGAAGGUGGGGACGACGUCAAGUCAUCAUGGCCCUUACGACCAGGGCUACACACGUGCUACAAUGGCGUAUACAAAGGGAGGCGACCUCGCGAGAGCAAGCGGACCUCAUAAAGUACGUCUAAGUCCGGAUUGGAGUCUGCAACUCGACUCCAUGAAGUCGGAAUCGCUAGUAAUCGUGAAUCAGAAUGUCACGGUGAAUACGUUCCCGGGCCUUGUACACACCGCCCGUCACACCAUGGGAGUGGGUUGCACCAGAAGUAGAUAGCUUAACCUUCGGGAGGGCGUUUACCACGGUGUGAUUCAUGACUGGGGUGAAGUCGUAACAAGGUAACCGUAGGGGAACCUGCGGUUGGAUCACCUCCUUAC